UACGUAGGGGGCAAGCGUUGUCCGGAAUCAUUGGGCGUAAAGCGCGCGUAGGCGGCCUGUAAGUCCGUUGUGAAAGCAAAGGCUCAACCUUUGAAAGCCGAUGGAUACUGCAGGGCUAGAGUCCGGAAGAGGCGAGUGGAAUUCCUGGUGUAGCGGUGGAAUGCGCAGGAUAUCAGGAGGAACACCAAUAGCGAAGGCAGCU
rnacentral:rRNA from 1 species